AAUCAACGCUGGCGGCGUGCCUCAGACAUGCAAGUCGAACGCGAAAGCCCCCUUCGGGGGGCAAGUAGAGUGGCGCACGGGUGAGUAACACGUAGGUAAUCUACCUUUGGAUGGGGAAUAACCACCGGAAACGGCGGCUAAUACCGCAUAAUGCAGCGGCACCUAAUGGUGACAGUUGUUAAAGCGGGGGAUCGUAAGACCUCGCGUCUGAAGAGGAGCCUGCGGCGGAUUAGCUAGUUGGUAAGGUAACGGCUUACCAAGGCGAUGAUCCGUAGCCGGCCUGAGAGGGCGGUCGGCCACACUGACACUGACAUACGGGUCAGACUCCUACGGGAGGCAGCAGUCGGGAAUUUUGGGCAAUGGGCGAAAGCCUGACCCAGCAACGCCGCGUGAAGGAUGAAAUCCCUCGGGAUGUAAACUUCGCAAGAACGGGAAGAAUAAGUAAGAGCUAACAUCUCUUAUGAUGACGGUACUGUUUGUAAGCUCCGGCUAACUCCGUGC
rnacentral:rRNA from 1 species